rnacentral:rRNA from 1 species
GACGAACGCUGGCGGCGUGCUUAACACAUGCAAGUCGAACGGAAAGGCCCUGCUUUCGUGGGGUGCUCGAGUGGCGAACGGGUGAGUAACACGUGAGUAACCUGCCCUUGACUUUGGGAUAACUUCAGGAAACUGGGGCUAAUACCGGAUAGGAGCUCCUGCUGCAUGGUGGGGGUUGGAAAGUUUCGGCUGUUGGGGAUGGACGGGCGGCUUAUGAGCUUGUUGGUGGGGUAGUGGCUUACCAAGGCUUUGAAGGGUAGCCGGCCUGAGAGGGUGGCCGGGGACAAUGGGACUAAGAGACGGCCCAGACUCGAACAGGAGGCAGCGGUGGAGAGUAUUACACAGUGGGCGGGAGCCUGAUGCAGAGACGCCGCGUGCGGGAUGACGGCCUUCGGGUUGUGAACCGCAUUCGCCUGUGACGAAGCGGGAGUGACGGUAAUGGGUAAAGAAGCACCGGCUAACUACGUG